UGGGGAAUAUUGGACAAUGGGCGAAAGCCUGAUCCAGCCAUGCCGCGUGUGUGAAGAAGGUCUUCGGAUUGUAAAGCACUUUAAGUUGGGAGGAAGGGCAGUAAGCGAAUACCUUGCUGUUUUGACGUUACCGACAGAAUAAGCACCGGCUAACUCUGUGCCAGCAGCCGCGGUAAUACAGAGGGUUAAAGCGUUAAUCGGAAUUACUGGGCGUAAAGCGCGCGUAGGUGGUUCGUUAAGUUGAAUGUGAAAGCCCCGGGCUCAACCUGGGAACUGCAUCCAAAACUGGCGAGCUAGAGUAUGGCAGAGGGUGGUGGAAUUUCCUGUGUAGCGGUGACAUACGUAGAUAUAGGAAGGAACACCAGUGGCGAAGGCGACCACCUGGGCUCAUACUGACACUGAGGUGCGAAAGCGUGGGGAGCAAACAGG
rnacentral:rRNA from 1 species